rnacentral:rRNA from 1 species
GAUGAACGCUGGCGGCGUGCCUAACACAUGCAAGUCGAACGAAGAGGCUCCUUCGGGAGUACUUCAGUGGCGGACGGGUGAGUAACACGUAGGUGACCUGCCCCGAAGCAGGGGAUAACGGCUCGAAAGGGCCGCUAAUACCCAAAAGGAUCGCGAGUCGCAUCGCGAUCAGAGUUACGGCGUUUCGGGAGGGGCCUGCGGCCCAUCAGCUUGUUGGUAGGGUAAUGGCCUACCAAGGCGACGACGGGUAGGGGGCCUGAGAGGGUGAUCCCCCACAUUGGCACUGACACACGGGCCAAACUCCUACGGGUGGCAG